rnacentral:rRNA from 1 species
GAUGAACGCUGGCGGCGUGCCUAAUACAUGCAAGUCGAGCGAACGGACGAGAAGCUUGCUUCUCUGAUGUUAGCGGCGGACGGGUGAGUAACACGUGGAUAACCUACCUAUAAGACUGGGAUAACUUCGGGAAACCGUAGCUAAUACCGGAUAAUAUAUUGAACCGCAUGGUUCAAUAGUGAAAGACGGUCUUGCUGUCACUUAUAGAUGGAUCCGCGCUGCAUUAGCUAGUUGGUAAGGUAACGGCUUACCAAGGCAACGAUGCAUAGCCGACCUGAGAGGGUGAUCGGCCACACUGGACCUGAGACACGGUCCAGACUCCUACGGGAGGCAGCAGUAGGGAAUCUUCCGCAAUGGGCGAAAGCCUGACGGAGCAACGCCGCGUGAGUGAUGAAGGUCUUCGGAUCGUAAAACUCUGUUAUUAGGGAAGAACAUAUGUGUAAGUAACUGUGCACGUCUUGACGGUACCUAAUCAGAAAGCCACGGCUAACUACGU